AGUAUGAUCGGCGCACCCUGAAUGGCAAGGCUUUUUCAGCUAACCAUCUUCUAAACACGGGGACCAGCAGCUCCUUAAACAAGAAAACAAACGUUAACAGUAUAACAGGCUCCACCUUGUUUUAAACUUUUGCUGCACAACAUCUUCAUGGCGCCAGGGAGGAUAAGUGGCUACUCAGCGGGGGGGUAUGCGGGGAAUUACUUUUAACACUUCGGAUACAAAGCCAGGGAUGGAAUUAAUCGGAAAAACUACUAUUAAAACAAGGCAUAUUGGAAACUACCAGGCUGCAGACGUGAAAACCUGCCUUUGCCAUACCGGGAACGGAACCCGGCCCGCCAGGCUACAGGGAUGUCUACUUUCGUCAGCUGGCUGACAUGCGAUUUUCAUUGCGGAUAAAUCUGCACAAUGCUUUACAUGCAUUUUGCAGGCUUUCUCUGUUCACAUGGCAUUUCUCCACCUUCCAGUGCCCUGCAAUGGACUGACGUGCUGUUGAAGGUUUACCUCACUUUACACUGUGUGCUUCCUGCAUUAGGGUCUAGAAUCUGUCUUGAUCCGAUCUAGAUUCUACAUAAUUAUUCUAAUGAUGAAAACAGACGAAUCUUUGACGCAACAGGGGGAUCAAACAAAUAUACUUUUCAUAUAAGCAAAAACAUAGUAUAAAUACACAUCAACACUAAUUCAUGCAUCAUCUGUAUUCAUGCUGAUAUUUUAAUUUCAUUAAUAAAGGAGUCUAUCUUCUAAUAGUUUAUUUUCUGCUCAAUAGACAAAUAAUAAUAGAAUGACAUGCUGAAGUGAUAAACUUUCAGCCUUGUGGUUUUGUCACUUCCUGUGUAAAGUGUCCACUCCCCCUUCACUCUGCCUGC